rnacentral:rRNA from 1 species
CCAGCGGUUAGACAAAAAGAUUAAUUUGAGAAUUUUAGGUUGUAGUUAAGCUUUAUAAAAGUGGUCGUUUUGUUUUAUUUUAGAUUAGAAGUGAAAUUUAUAAUUUUUUGGUAAGAUAAUUGCUUCCACUUGGUUGAUGAGACUACUAACAUAAGGGUUAAGACUAGGAUUAGAUACCCUAUUAUUCCUUGUUUAGAAGUUUGUGCCUGAGUAGUAAACAGAUAUAAUCUUGAAACUUAAAGAAUUUGGCGGUAUUCAAGUCUGGUUAGAGGAACCUGCUAAUGAAACGAUAUGCCACGAAUAAUCUUACUUUUAUUAGUAUUCAGUAUGUAUACCGCCAUUAUUAGGUAAUAUCCUUAGAUAGUUACUAAAAUAGUUUUCCUGAGAUAUUAGGUCAAGGUGCAGCCUAUAUAAAAGUUUUUUGUGGGUUACAAUGUAUUAUAUACCUCGGAUUAGAAUUUUAAAUAGUUCUUUAAAGUUGGAUUUAAUUGUAUUCUUAUUUUAAUAAGUUAAGUUGAUAUUAGCUCUAGAAUAUGUACACAUCGCCCGUCGCUCUCACUACUUAAAGUGAGAUAAGUC